UUGGGGUAUGCGCGGUCUUUGGGUAAUCAAACCGCCGCAAAAUUUGGCCAAAACUUAUAUCUCCUUCUCGGUGCUUCCCGAGUUCCCUCACAGAGAGGCUCUCUCUCUCUCUCUCUCUCUCUCUCUCUCUCUCUCUUCCCCUCCCCCCGUCAAAACUCAAAAGCUUCGAGAAUUCUCAAGCCUCUCCAGAUACUAGCUCCUCCGCCUCCGCCAAAAUCAAGUCAAUCUUCAUCUCCGAGAUCAUACUCCCUCAGCUCUCCAACCUCUCAAUUGUCAAAUCCGCCUCCGCCAGUGUCCCAUCGGAGGCGGAGCUCCAGAAGUUCGGCCUCUCCGACGAUUCCAGAGACUUCGUCAAAUGCGAAUUUUUGACUCACUUCCGAAUUUUUGAUUCGAAUCUUCAAAUGCGAACCAUUUCGAUCGACUAGUCGACUCUCUCUAAUCCUUCCUGCUCUGCACUUCGCUCCUCGCAGCUCAGUUCGAGGUUUUAGGAAAGAUUUGACGGAGUGUCGGGAGCGACAUACAUGCCACUUUGGUUCUCACUACUGAUAAGGUCAUUACUGCUUUGAAGAAAUGAGCAUACUUGCUCAAGUACGGAAGAAGGGGAUAGUCCAAGUUCUGCCACUUCCGCCUUUCUAAUGUUACCUUGUGAAUUUCAAUGACUGAUGUUCCUCAAUGAAGUUGGUUAAGUUGUGAUGCUUUUGUGAAUCUCAUCACAACUGAGAUUCACGAGGUAUGAAGUUAGUGAUUGUUAAAGAGCCACAUAGAGUCAUGAAAUGAAGUUUAAGUUGGCUUAUUUCUGAAAGUUUGCAGUACUUUCUUGUAUAAAUUGACAGAUUUGAGAUACCCAUUUUCUUC